UCCCCCUGUGGGGUGGCUGGUGCCACAGCCACUCCCAGAGGGCAGCUCUGCCCCCAAGGCUGUCCUCAGAUAUAACUGCUAUGAGCUCAUGACGGCGUAAGGUGUCUCCCCCAGGACGCCCUUAGUGGACUGCAUUUCUGCGGUGGGGACCCCUGUUUACCACCUAUCCUCUUUAAAACCAUCCUGCACAGUGGCCUAUGGAAAGUUCCGCCAGGAGGGGAGGCCCUUGUGCAACCCAGCAAGCCCACCUCGCUCCACGGCGACGGCGCAGCCAUCUCUUCCCAGCCAACCCCAGAAGGACAUGACGUCAAUGCAACCCGCUGCUGUGGCCUUACUGGGGCAUUUCUCAUAAGCACUAAGAUGGGAUUUCAGCUGCUGUGUGGGUGACAGGGUGGAAGCAAGGAGUUCGUCUGGGCCCGAACCUGCCAAGGAGCACAGCAACCUCGGACCCCAGGGUCUCCUUUCUGGCCCUCUGAGGAGAUGGCUGAUGUCACAAGAAUGGUACCUCAAAUAAUCCAGGUAUAAUCUGGGCAUAAGUAUCUGCCACUCUGUAACACCCCCCCUGACCCCAGACCUGGCACUGCGUCACUGCAGUUGGGGGGACCAAGACCUGCCUUAGGCAUGCCCACAUGCAGAAGCAUGUGCCUCUGGGGGCCCCCAGCAAACCCCAGCACAGAGGGGCUGAGCCUGUCUCAUGAGGACCCUGCUCCUGGUAGGUGGAAACAUCCACCAUCUGGUCCUGCCUCUCUAGGCUGGGCCCGGGGUCCAGUCGGAGAGUUUGACGCCCAGGGAAGGAUGGAGUCCUGGAAAACCAUGGCUGUGCAGCCCCUGGUACAGGUAGGGCUCUCAGUGCAGAGAAGCCCCCCAAAUCCUAGCCUGGUGUGCAGAGUGCUCCAGGCUCUCAGUGCCCUCCCAGCCCUGCAAGCCCACCCUACUCCUGGGGCCGAUGUGGUUAAAACACUAACACCCAAACACUUUUUUAAACGCUAGUUAGAGUUGAAGUUGUGUCAGGACCCAAGUCUCGGGGCCUAAAGGCCGCACGUCACCACAGACUCAGCCGUGACAUUCUCAAGUGAGGUGCUUCUGUUUUGUUUUUUGAUCAUAAAAAUGAUUGGGGGAAAAAAAAGCCCAAACAAGCAAAGCCCGAUGCCACAGCAGCGUGUCGCGCAGGCACUGUGGGGCCGGCGUCUGCCCACAGGAAGCGGUUGCCCUGCCGCUGCAAGGCCCCGAGGUGUCACAGUCAUAACCUUUCCCUGACCACAUAGAGGGUGACAAACUGCACAGCUUGUGACCGGGGCACCCCGCCUCCCCGGCCGACAGGUGCAGGAGGAAUUCCCACAGCAGCUAAGCUGCUGCAAACUGGGGUGGGCCUCUAAGCCCAGGGGCACACGCCAGGGCCUUGGGGAGAGCCGCCAGACUUUCUCUGCUGGAAAGAAGCCCCAAGCACGGAAGCCAGUUGCCAGGCUUAGGAGCCCACCAAGGACCCCCAGCUCUGUCUCCCUUGGCUGGGACUUCCACACUUUCUAGCCCACGAGUUGGUGGGGGUGCUUAGAGGCCCAGGGCCUCAUUACCCACAGACCACCGAGGACGUCGCAGUCACUGGGGACAACGGCAAGUGCAGGCUGUGCCCAGAAGGGAGCAACUGCCACCAGCACUGCUCGGAGGACCAGACACGCCAGGCUGGGAGAGGCUCGGAGCCUCCUGUCCUGUCCUCUGCACACCAGCUCGCCUUCUCUGAGGGGCUGCCUCUCCAGAGCCUGGCCCUGGGGCCCUUCCCACCACAACCCUGGUCAGGAGGAGACAAUCCGCCCUCUGGCUGCCACCACCCUGCAGGAUGCCGUGCCCGCAGACCCCGCUGCUCUGGCUCACAGCUCCCUGGGGGGCAGACAUCACAGCCACAUCUGCAGGCGCGAGGCACAGAGGACUUAGAUAACUGGCACAUUCAAGAAAGGGGCAGACCAGCUGGCUGCUGGCUACUGGUGGCCUGCCUCACCCCUUUCUCAAUCUCUGGGGACCACCUGCACUUCUCAGCUCGCCUCCACUUGAAGAUGGCAGCUACGAGUGACUAGGGCUUCCCUAGAGCCUCACCAAGGACUAGGGCUCAGUAGGGGCUCAGAGAGCAUCUCCACGGAUGCACAGAAGGAAGGGUGGGCGAGGCAGGGCCUCCCAGCCCAGAGCCUGGACGCCUUUGCUCCGCCUCUUUCUGAGGUGACAUGUAAGGGAACAGAGUGCUGGGAGUGCUAAAGGCGGCAGGGUACAGGAACACCUCUCUCAGGAGGCCUGCCCCGAUCCCAGCACAGGUGGGCCCCUCUGAGGGGCUCUCACAGCCCCUGCCCCGCGGUGUGGAUUGCAGAGGGCCAUGGCUGUCUAGUCCACAUUUUUCUCUUUUCUUGGAUGACCAGGACUGCGAGGGUUUCACCUGGCUGACUCCCACAGCCAGGCAGACAGUGGGUGCUCAAUGAGUGUUUGGGGGACGAAUGGGUAAGGUGCUUGAGGACAGUUGAGGAUGUCACCCAGUGCCUCACAGGCCUUUCCCCUGGGGUCUUUCCUCCUUCAUCCCCCCGUCACGUUCUGGACCCUUUUCUUUCUCAUUCCCCCAUGGGUUCUGCAGAAGGAAGCAUGAAGCCUCGUUCCGGUUGCUCUGCUCCUCUGGGAAUCAGUACUAACUCUCCCUGGGUCCCCGUUACAGUGUAGCCAUCCCAUGUUGAGGGUCACAGCGCGGCUGCCUUGUGCUCAGUGUUGCAGUAUGACCUCUCCCUAGGCCCACGUGGCAGUGUCCUGCUUCCCGGGGCAGAGCAAUGCUGGCUUGUCCAUCUCAGCACCCCGUAGACCCGGGACACAGUAGGUGCUCAGUCAAGGUGUGCCGGGCAGCCGGGACAGACUGAGCCGGGUUAUAUUUAGCACCUUCUCUGCCCGACUCAGUCUCUUGCGGCCCAUCCCUCUUCCUUCGCCAGGGCACACGUCGGUCUGGAGAAGCUCCAUGACCCAUCGUCUUCCAUAUCAGGCCUCAGGUUUUGAGAUCAGCUCCUGCAAAUAGCUCGGAUCUCAGUGGGCCAGAUCGAAGCCCGUACCUUGCCAGUCCCCUGAUGGGCACUUGCUGCUCGUGCACAUACAACGGCCCUGGCGGGGGCUCUGGUGCAGACGGAGGUGCCUCCAGAUGCCCUGCGAACAUCUGCUUUCUUCCUCCAGUAGGCCCAGUUCUCGGACUCUGUCCUUCCGGCCAGAUGCCACCCAGGUCGUCUGUGAUGAGCCUUGACUGGCACCCCAGGUCUGCCCCUGGAUGUGAGCUCAGCCUGAGACAUCACCCUGGAA